UGGCUGAGCGGUAAAGCGCUUGGCUUCCGAACCGGAUGUCCCGGGUUCGAAUCCUGG
rnacentral:tRNA from 1 species